rnacentral:rRNA from 1 species
GAUGAACGCUGGCGGCGUGCUUAACACAUGCAAGUCGAACGAAGCGCUUUUGUUUAUUUCCUGCGGUACUGAGGAUUUUGUGACUGAGUGGCGGACGUGUGAUUAACGCGUGUUUAACCUGCCUUGUACAGGGGGAGAACAGUUGGAAACGGCUGCUAAUACCGCAUAGGCGCGCAGCAUCACAUGAGGCAGUGUGAAAAACUCCGGUGGUAUAAGAUGGACCCGCGUGGGCUUAGCUAGUUGGUGAGGUAACGGCGCACCAAGGCGACGAUCCAUAGCCGACAUGGGAGGGUGCCAGGCCAGGUUGGGACUGAGACACGGACCCCACUCGUAGGGAGGGGAGCGGAAGAGAAUAUUACAGAAGGGGCGCAAGUCUGAUGCAGCGACGCCGCGUGAGACAGGCAGUAUUUUGGUAUGUACAGCUCUAUGAGCCGGGACGAUAAUGACGGUAACUGAUAAAGAAGCACCGGCUAACUACGUG